rnacentral:rRNA from 1 species
AAAAGUCGUAACAAGGUUUCCGUAGGUGAACCUGCGGAAGGAUCAUUAUCGAGUUUUGAAACGGGUUGUAGCUGACCUCAAUUGGGGUAUGUGCACGCCUGGCUCAUUCCACUCUCAAACCCCUGUGCACUUAUUGUAGGCUUGGUGGGAUAGGCUGACUUUCAUUAGUCGGCCUUGAAAGCUUCGCCUAUGUUUUAAUACAAACGCUUCAGUUUAGAAUGUAAUCAUUGCUAACAAGCAAAUUAAAUACAACUUUCAGCAACGGAUCUCUUGGCUCUCGCAUCGAUGAAGAACGCAGCGAAAUGCGAUAAGUAAUGUGAAUUGCAGAAUUCAGUGAAUCAUCGAAUCUUUGAACGCACCUUGCGCUCUUUGGUAUUCCGAAGAGCAUGCCUGUUUGAGUGUCAUGGUAUCAUCAACCUUCAACACUUUUGUGAUUGAAGGCUUGGAUUUGGAGGUUGUGUCGGUGCAUUYGUAUCGACUCCUCUGAAAUGUAUUAGCGUGAAUCUUACGGAUCGCCUUCGGUGUGAUAAUUACUGCGCYGUGGACGUGAAGUAUAACAGUGUUCGUGCUUACAAUCGUCUUUAACAGAGACAACACUUUGACAAUCUGACCUCAAAUCAGGUAGGAUUACCCGCUGAACUUAAGCAUAUCA